GUUAAUAUUCCUGCAACACAGUUAAAAUCAAUUUAAAUACUGUAUUUUUUUGAAAAAAAAAGUGCAGAUAAAGGUACUUAAAUUCUCUUAUACGUCCAGUUGAAUACAGCAAGUUCUUAGACGGCCAAAGCUGAGGUUU